ACGUAGGGGGCGAGCGUUGUCCGGAAUUACUGGGCGUAAAGGGUGCGUAGGCGGCAGACUAAGUCUUGUGUGAAAUACCCGGGCUCAACCCGGGGGCUGCAUUGGAAACUGGAAUGCUUGAGUACAGGAGAGGUAAGAGGAAUUCCGAGUGUAGCGGUGAAAUGCGUAGAUAUUAGGAGGAACACCAGUGGCGAAGGCGGCUUACUGGAUUGAAACUGACGCUGAGGCGCGAAAGCGUGGGGAGCGAACAG
rnacentral:rRNA from 1 species